GGACAACAGCCGGAAAUGGCUGCUAAUACCGCAUAAGCCUGCGGUGCCGCAUGGCACAGCAGGGAAAACCACGGUGGUACAGGAUGGGCCCGCGUCUGAUUAGUUAGUUGGCAGGGUAACGGCCUACCAAGACGAUGAUCAGUAGCCGGCUUGAGAGAGUGGACGGCCACAUUGGGACUGAGACACGGCCCAGACUCCUGCGGGAGGCAGCAGUGGGGAAUAUUGCACAAUGGGGGGAACCCUGAUGCAGCAAUGCCGCGUGGGUGAAGAAGCACUCCGGUGCGUAAAGCCCUGUCAGCAGGGAAGAAAAUGACAGUACCUGACCAAGAAGCCCCGGCUAACUACGUGCCAGCAGCCGCGGUAAUACGUAGGGGGCAAGCGUUAUCCGGAUUUACUGGGUGUAAAGGGAGCGCAGGCGGUAUGGCAAGUCAGAUGUGAAAACCCAGGGCUCAACCCUGGGACUGCAUUUGAAACUGCCAUACUGGAGUGCCGGAGAGGUAAGUGGAAUUCCUAGUGUAGCGGUGAAAUGCGUAGAUAUUAGGAGGAACACCAGUGGCGAAGGCGGCUUACUGGACGGUAACUGACGCCGAGGCUCGAAAGCGUGGGGAGCAAACAGGAUUAGAUACCCUGGUAGUCCACGCUGUAAACGAUGAAUACUAGGUGUCGGGGUACAUAAGUACCUCGGU
rnacentral:rRNA from 1 species